AGCUAGUGUGGCGUAGUGGUUUGAGUGUUGGACUACAACUUUGGAGACCAGGGUUUGAAUCCCGGCUUGGCCA
rnacentral:tRNA from 1 species